AUUGAACGCUGGCGGCAUGCUUUACACAUGCAAGUCGAACGGUAACAGGCCGCAAGGUGCUGACGAGUGGCGAACGGGUGAGUAAUGCAUCGGAACGUGCCCAGUCGUGGGGGAUAACUACUCGAAAGAGUAGCUAAUACCGCAUACGAUCUAUGGAUGAAAGCGGGGGACCGUAAGGCCUCGCGCGAUUGGAGCGGCCGAUGUCAGAUUAGGUAGUUGGUGGGGUAAAGGCUCACCAAGCCAACGAUCUGUAGCUGGUCUGAGAGGACGACCAGCCACACUGGGACUGAGACACGGCCCAGACUCCUACGGGAGGCAGCAGUGGGGAAUUUUGGACAAUGGGCGCAAGCCUGAUCCAGCAAUGCCGCGUGCAGGAAGAAGGCCUUCGGGUUGUAAACUGCUUUUGGACGGAACGAAACGGCUCUGGUUAAUACCCGGGGCUAAUGACGGUACCGUAAGAAUAAGCACCGGCUAACUACGUG
rnacentral:rRNA from 1 species